GAUGAACGCUGACAGAAUGCUUAACACAUGCAAGUCAACUGCGGCGGACGGGUGAGUAACGCGUAAAGAACUUGCCUCACAGCUAGGGACAACCUUUGGAAACGAAUGCUAAUACCUGAUACUGUGAGUGAGCUUUGCGUCCCAUUAGCUAGUUGGAGAGGUAACGGCUCACCAAGGCGAUGAUGGGUAGCCGGCCUGAGAGGGUGAUGGGCCACAAGGGGACUGAGACACGGCCCUUACGACUACGGGAGGCAGCAGUGGGGAAUAUUGAGCAAUGGACCAAAGUCUGAUCCAGCAAUUCUGUGUGUACGAUGAAGUUUUCGGAAUGUAAAGUGAUUUCAGUUGGGAAGCGGUACCAACAGAAGAAGUAACGGCUAAAUACGUGCCAGCAGCCGCGGUAAUAC
rnacentral:rRNA from 1 species